rnacentral:lncRNA from 1 species
UCCUAAUUUGUUCAACAGUGUACAGACCCCCAGCCUCGUACCCACAUAUAUCAACUUGAAGGACCCCAUCAACAUGCAUUGGCCUAAAACUAUAGAGACUCCUACAUGGACACAACAAACCAUACGCAGCCCUCCUUCUGAUAUCAUCAUCUGCCUCUUCAACAGCCUUGAUCAGGAAGACCUUCGCAUUUGUUUGCUUUGAUUUCUCAACAUAAUGAGAAUCAAAUUGAACAAGUUCCGUCGGAUCAAGCCACCCAUAGCUACCAUCUCCAAAAAAAGCAACCAGGACAUGACCCUCUCUCUUUGUUUCACACAUGCACGACAUAGAAAACUCCUUGUCAAACUCCUUUUCAUCAAACACGCAGCCCGUGUACGAAUCCCAGACUCCUUGUUUCUCAUACCAUAACCCAUUCUUGCAGCCUCAACUACAGAUUCAAUUUCUCCAGAAUCAGUAUCAUACCAAGCUCUGGAAUCCCUAACCCCACUCUUCCUAUUGUUAUAUGCAUCUUCAACACUAAAACGACCAAACCUAUCAUGCAACUUUGUAGUUGUAGAUGGCAGGGUGAAGUGGAAGGUAACCUUGCGAAGGGGAAGGAGUUGUUGUCACUGGCCUGGCGUGAGGUGGGUGGAGGUGCUAGCAGAAGAAUGGUGGCGAUGGCCUAAGUCGGCUAUGGAAGAAGAAAAAGCUUGCAUAAGAGAAAGAUAGAGGAGUUCAUGGUGGCAUCACUAUUCAUCGCGGUGGGCGCUGACAAUCGCUGAGGAAGGAGCUGAUGUUCGUGAAGGUGUGUAGCUUAGGGUUCAUGGCGGAGAAGCCAGCUGUGGAAGAGGUAGCAAAAAGCUGACGGGGAGAGAGAGAAGAGAAAGAACUCGUGUAGAAGAAAAAUUAGGGGAGGCUGGUUUUCAGUCAAA